AUUGAACGCUGGCGGCAUGCCUUACACAUGCAAGUCGAACGGUAACGGGCCUUCGGGUGCCGACGAGUGGCGAACGGGUGCGUAAUACAUCGGAACGUGCCCGAUCGUGGGGGAUAACGAGGCGAAAGCUUUGCUAAUACCGCAUACGAUCUACGGAUGAAAGCAGGGGACCGCAAGGCCUUGCGCGGACGGAGCGGCCGAUGGCAGAUUAGGUAGUUGGUGGGAUAAAAGCUUACCAAGCCGACGAUCUGUAGCUGGUCUGAGAGGAUGAUCAGCCACACUGGGACUGAGACACGGCCCAGACUCCUACGGGAGGCAGCAGUGGGGAAUUUUGGACAAUGGGCGCAAGCCUGGUCCAGCCAUGCCGCGUGCAGGAUGAAGGCCUUCGGGUUGUAAACUGCUUUUGUACGGAACGAAAAGCCUUCUUUUAAUACAGGAGGGUCAUGACGGUACCGGAAGAAUAAGCACCGGCUAACUACGUG
rnacentral:rRNA from 1 species